CAGAGAGGAGGGAGUCCUCAGAGAGGAGGACAGUAUCACUGAAUAUAAACAAAAACUAAGGUCCCAUAAGAGAGCAGACUCUCUUGAACCUGGUCCCAGUUGUGUGUCCUUCAAGAGCGACAAAUCAAUGGGUCGCUUCAUUACUUUUGAACAAAAGCAGCCUUCUGCUACAAACAGAAAACUUUCUGUGUUGUGUUGAAGAACAAAGCAGCAGUUCAGACCAGAGACGCCUGAAUCUGAACCUGGUCCCAGCUGUGUGUCCUUCAAGAGCGACGAUUCGAUGGGUCGAGACGUUGAUUUUAAACAAGAACAUCCUUCUGCUGUAAAGAGGAGGAAGCUGGAAAAUCAAACUCCACCUGAACCCAAAGCCAGCAGGGCGUCUAAGAAGAGAGGAUGGACUGAGAAGGAAGAUAAGAUAUCAAGGAAAAGGAGUCACUCUGUGGAUCGGAUAGUGAAGCAGCAGAGUUUAAAUGUUCUCAGUGAUCAGUCUGUUCCUCAGCAUCAAACACAG